rnacentral:rRNA from 1 species
CCUACGGGGGGCUGCAGUGGGGAAUAUUGCACAAUGGAGGGAACUCUGAUGCAGCGACGCCGCGUGAGUGAAGAAGGUCUUCGGAUCGUAAAACUCUGUCCUUGGUGAAGAAAAGGACGGUAGCCAAGGAGGAAGCCCCGGCUAACUACGUGCCAGCAGCCGCGGUAAUACGUAGGGGGCGAGCGUUGUCCGGAUUUACUGGGCGUAAAGGGUGAGUAGGCGGUUAUAUAUGUCAGGUGUAAAAGAUCAUGGCUCAACCAUGGUUGGCACUUGAAACUGUAUGACUUGAGUGCAGGAGAGGUAAGCGGAAUUCCUAGUGUAGCGGUGAAAUGCGUAGAUAUUAGGAGGAACACCAGUGGCGAAGGCGGCUUACUGGACUGUAACUGACGCUGAGACACGAAAGCGUGGGUAGCAAACAGGAUUAGAUACCCGGGUAGUC